rnacentral:rRNA from 1 species
UUGAACGCUGGCGGCAUGCCUUACACAUGCAAGUCGAACGGCAGCACGGGGGCAACCCUGGUGGCGAGUGGCGAACGGGUGAGUAAUGCAUCGGAACGUGCCCUGAAGUGGGGGAUAACGUAGCGAAAGUUACGCUAAUACCGCAUAUUCUGUGAGCAGGAAAGCAGGGGAUCGCAAGACCUUGCGCUUUAGGAGCGGCCGAUGUCGGAUUAGCUAGUUGGCGAGGUAAAGGCUCACCAAGGCAACGAUCCGUAGCGGGUCUGGGAGGAUGAUCCGCCACACUGGGACUGAGACACGGCCCAGACUCCUACGGGAGGCAGCAGUGGGGAAUUUUGGACAAUGGGCGCAAGCCUGAUCCAGCCAUGCCGCGUGAGUGAAGAAGGCCUUCGGGUUGUAAACUGCUUUUGUACGGAGCGAAAAGGCUCUCUCUAAUACAGGGGGCUCAUGACGGUACCGUAAGAAUAAGCACCGGCUAACUACGU